AACGCACAUUGCGCCCCUUGGUAUUCCGGGGGGCAUGCCUGUUCGAGCGUCAUUAUCACCCCUCAAGCUCAGCUUGGUGUUGGGGCCUGCCCGUCACAGGGCAGCCCCUAAAAGCAGUGGCGGUGCCAUCUGGCUCUACGCGUAGUAACAUUCUCGCGAUGGGGUCCCGGUGGUGUCCUGCCAAAACCCCAAAUUUUUUAUGAUUGACCUCGGAUCAGGUAGGGAUACCCGCUGAACUUAA
rnacentral:misc_RNA from 1 species